UACGGAGGUGGCAAGCGUUGCUCGGAAUCACUGGGCGUAAAGCGCGUGUAGGCGGCCCUGCAAGUCGGAUGUGAAAUCCCACGGCUCAACCGUGGAAGUGCAUUCGAAACUGCAAGGGCCUAGAGUCCUGGAGAGGAAGGUGGAAUGCUUGGUGUAGAGGUGAAAUUCGUAGAUAUCAAGCGGAACACCGGUGGACGAAGGCGGCCUUCUGGACAGUGACUGACGCUGAAGACGCGAAAGCGUGGGGAGCAA
rnacentral:rRNA from 1 species